rnacentral:rRNA from 1 species
UACGUAGGUGGCAAGCGUUGUCCGGAAUUAUUGGGCGUAAAGCGCGCGCAGGUGGUUCUUUAAGUCUGAUGUGAAAGCCCACGGCUCAACCGUGGAGGGUCAUUGGAAACUGGGGGACUUGAGUGCAGAAGAGGAAAGUGGAAUUCCAAGUGUAGCGGUGAAAUGCGUAGAGAUUUGGAGGAACACCAGUGGCGAAGGCGACUUUCUGGUCUGUAACUGACACUGAGGCGCGAAAGCGUGGGAAGCAAACAGG